UUCGGAAUAACUCAGAGGAAAUUUGAGCUAAUACCGGAUAAUGUCUUCGGACCAAAGAUUUAUCGCCUUUGGAUGGGCCCGCGUUGGAUUAGCUAGUUGGUGGGUAAAGGCCUACCAAGGCGACGAUCCAUAGCUGGUCUGAGAGGAUGAUCAGCCACACUGGGACUGAGACACGGCCCAGACUCCUACGGGAGGCAGCAGUGGGGAAUAUUGGACAAUGGGCGAAAGCCUGAUCCAGCAAUGCCGCGUGAGUGAUGAAGGCCUUAGGGUUGUAAAGCUCUUUUACUGGGGAUGAUGAUGACAGUACCCAGAGAAUAAGCUCCGGCUAACUCCGUG
rnacentral:rRNA from 1 species